AAUUAUCAAGCAGCCCUUGGAUCAAAGGGAAGUCUGAUCCUGGGGACUUUCUUAUGCCUCCCCCAGAGCUAUGGAUAAUUUCCCUGCCUGCAUUCUUCACUGCAACUCUCUUUUAUGAGAAAUGGCUGCUCUGGCAGAACACAAAGAUGACUGCAUUUCCAAGGAGAUUUUUAAAAGCAUUGGCACUGAUGAGACUGUCCAAGGACAAGGAAGUCGGAGGCUGAUCAGCUUCUCUCUCUCAGAUUUCCAAGCCAUGGGGUUGAAGAAAGGGAUGUUUUUCAACCCAGACCCUUAUCUGAAGAUUUCCAUUCAGCCUGGGAAGCACAGCAUCUUCCCCGCUCUCCCUCACCAUGGACAGGAGAGGAGAUCCAAGAUCAUAGGCAACACCGUGAACCCCAUCUGGCAGGCCGAG
rnacentral:sRNA from 1 species